UACGUAGGGGGCAAGCGUUGUCCGGAAUCAUUGGGCGUAAAGAGCGCGUAGGCGGCCCUGUAAGUCCGCUGUGAAAGUCAAGGGCUCAACCCUUGGAUGCCGGUGGAUACUGCAGGGCUAGAGUCCGGAAGAGGCGAGUGGAAUUCCUGGUGUGGCGGUGAAAUGCGCAGAUAUCAGGAGGAACACCGAUGGCGAAGGCAGCUCGCUGGGACGGUACUGACGCUGAGGCGCGAAAGCGUGGGGAGCAAACAGG
rnacentral:rRNA from 1 species